rnacentral:rRNA from 1 species
UCCAUAGGUGAACCUGCGGAAGGAUCAUUA